CGCAUGGCUUGUUGCUUCUCAGAGGGGGCUGGCUACUAACAAUGCUGCUCCGUAAGUCUGAGAAAUACUUCUCUCAUUGAGGAGAAUGAGACCAAGGAGAGGUCUGCUCAUGGACCACUGAUUCCGACAGUCUUCAAAUAUAUGAUGAUAUUGAGAACAGUGGAGAGCAUCUGCUGGGAUCAUUUCAGGGUGUUGCUGCAUAAUGUGCAGGAAGCGCUCGCUCUCUUGUGGUGGUGG